UACGAGAGGUCCAAACGUUAUUCGGAAUCACUGGGCUUACAGAGUUCGUAGGCGGUUCUACAAGUGAGGUGUGAAAGCCCUCGGCUCAACCGAGGAACUGCGCUUCAAACUGUAGAACUAGAGGGAGAUAGAGGUGAGCAGAACUGAUGGUGGAGCGGUGAAAUGCGUUGAUAUCAUCAGGAAUACCGGAGGCGAAGGCGGCAUCCUG
rnacentral:rRNA from 1 species